UUCUGGACUAACUCUUCAUGGCGGGCUCCCUGCACUUCGGUGUGGCCAACCGUUAUGGGGUAGUCUUUUCACUUUCCCUCCCGUCAAUAAAUUGUUGUUGGGUAGGGAUGCUUCUCUUGGUUGCCUGUGCUGUUCUACCCAUGUUGGUAGCAAUACGUGACCCUAACGUAUAUUGUGGCUCUCUUGUUGACAGUGUUGUGUUAGCAGGGCAGCUGAGGCAUCGGCGAAAAUUCCUUUCGUUGCUAUGGUUGAAUAUUUCCCUUGGCACUGCAUUGGAAUAUUUGUCAGGUCUCAUGGAUGUUGCCUACUCGGUGAGUUCUGUUGGUUCCUUGACCCUCGGGCUUGUUGAUGGCUCCCGUUUAUGCAUGUAUCAUUGCUCCACGUGCUCAAUUCAAAGUGUUGCGCUUACUGGCAUUUUGUAUUGAUGCGUGCGGAGAAUUUUCAUGCGCAUGUGGAAUGACUAUCAAAUUAUUCGAUGACCCAUGAUUGUCGGUUCACGUUGUUAAAUGGACCUCUUGCUUGGGUUGGUGCUUCAAGCAGCGUGUUCCGGCUUUCGCUUAAGAUGUGC
rnacentral:misc_RNA from 1 species